UCCCUGGUGGCUUAGUGGUAAAGAACUUGUUUGCCAAUGCAGGAGACCCAGGUUCGAUCCCUGGGUUGGGAA
rnacentral:tRNA from 1 species